UAGCACAGGGAGGUAGUGACCAGAAAUACUGUCGGGGUGGCCCAAUUACGGGCCUCCCCGUUCGGAAUGAGUCCAAUUUAAAUCCUUGCACGAGGAUCUAGUGGAGGGCAAGUCUGGUGCCAGCAGCCGCGGUAACUCCAGCUCCACGAGCAUAUACCAAUGUUGCUGAGGUUGAAACGCUCGUAGUUUGAACUAAAUCGCGGCGGACGGGUCUAUGGGCUUAUGGUGCGUCGCUCUGCGGCGUUGCCUGCCUUCGGCCUGCCUCCGUUCGCAAUCAAAACUUGCCGUGCUCGCGGGGCGUGCCUCUAACGGGGUGCGCCUUCCCAAGCGGCUAGCCGUCACGUCCCCUCACGGGGGCCCGGCUACGUCCGUUCGCGGCCGGCACCUUCACUUUGCAAAAAGCGUAGUGCUCAACGCAAGCCAUUGGCCGCUUCGGCGGGCCUUAUUAGUGCCUGUGCCUGGUGCAUUGGAUGAUACAACAGGGCCUCGGUCGCAUGUUUCUCAAGGGUUCGUUUUAGCGACCCGAGGCAAUGAUUAAUAGAAACGGACGGGGGCAUUCGUACUGUGACGCGAGAGGUGAAAUUCUUAGACCGUCGCAUGACGAACUAAAGCGAAAGCAUCUGCCAAGGACGCUUUCAUUAAUCAAGAACGAAAGUUAGAGGUUCGAAGGCGAUUAGAUACCGCCCUAGUUCUUACCGUAAACUAUGCUGACCAGCGAUCCGGAGUAGCCGCUGCCUUUGGCACUCCGGGAAGCUUCCGGGAAACCAAAGUCUUUGAGUUCCUGGGGAAGUAUGGUUGCAAGGCUGAAACUUAAAGGAAUUGACGGAAGGGCACCACCAGGAGUGGAGCCUG
rnacentral:rRNA from 1 species